rnacentral:lncRNA from 1 species
CAAAAGAACCCAAACUCUGCUCCUAAAAAGGACAGAUUCAAAUCUCUCCAAGCCACGGCACAGCAUGAGAUCAGGAAGAUGCAAGACCCAUGGUGGGAAAAAAAGGCAGAAGAAAUCCAGCAUUUUGCUGAUACGAAAAACUACAAACAAUUUUUCAGUGCCCUCAAGACUGUCUAUGGGCCAUUAAAAACCACCACUACUCCCUUGCUAUCCUCUGACAGUGACACUCUCAUAAAAGAUAAAAAAGGCAUCAGCAACAGGUGGAAAGAACACUUCAGUCAGCUUCUCAACCGACCCUCUUCAGUCGACCAAAGCGGCCUUGACCAGAUCCCCAAAAUCACACCAUUGAACAACUUGAUGUCCCUCCUUCAAUAGAGGAAGUCCAAAAAGCCAUUCAACAAAUGAGUGCAGGCAAGGCACCCAGUAAAAAUGGGAUCCCAACCUGAGGUGUACAAGGCUGUAAAUGGAAAGGCCCUCCAGGCAUUCCACAUAGUGUUGACCAGCAUAUGGGAAGAGGAAGACAUGCCCCUAGAACUCAGAGAUGCCUCCAUCAUAGCCCUAUACAAGAACAAAGGCUCACAAGCAGCCUGUGACAACUACAGAGGCAUCUCACUACUCUCCACUGCUGGAAAGAUCCUCGCCCGUGUUAUACUCAACAGACUCCUGUCAUCUGUUUCGGAGCAGAACCUGCCUGAAUUUCAAUGUGGCUUCCAACCAGAUUGCAGCACCAUCGACAUAGUCUUCAUUGUGAGGCAAAUGCAGGAAAAAUGCCUUGAGCAGAACCUGAGUCUCUACAUUGUCUUCAUAGACCUAACAAAGGCUUUCGACACAGGGAACAGGGACACAUUGUGGGUGAUCCUCAGCAGGCUUGAUUGCCUAGCAAAAUUCGUCAAACUGAUCCAGCUUUUUCUUGUCGACAUGACAGGGGAAGUCCUAUCUGGUGGAGAGACUUCCGAUCGCUUCAACAUCUCCAAUGGCGUGAAACAAGGCUCUGUCCUUGCUCCGGUACUAUUCAACCUAUUUUUCACCCAAGUAUUACAACAUGCUGUGAUGGAUCUAGACCUGGGAGUCUACAUCAAAUACCGACUGGAUGGUUCACUAUUCUACCUUUUCCGCCUGACUGCAAAAACAAAGACAUCAGAGAGACUCAUCCUGGAAGCUCUCUUUGCAGAUGACUGUGCUCUCAUGGCCCACCAAGAAAAUCAUCUCCAAACCAUUGUGGACAGGUUCUUCACUGCAACAAAACUGUUUGGCCUGACUAUCAGCCUCAGCAAAACAGAGGUGCUGUUCCCACCUGCACCAGGGAGGCCAACGAACCAGCCGUGCAUUACAAUCGAUGGCAGGCAGCUUUCUAACGUCAACACUUUCAAGUACCUGGGCAGCACCAUCGCCAACGACGCGUCCCUAG